AGCCAUCCUCUCCCCAACCCUCGAUCCAACCAAUCCCCCACCGUGCUCGCCGCCCAAAUGCCGCCGCGGGCCGCCUAGGGUUCCGGCGGCCGCCGUCUCCCUCGCUGGCGCGAUGGGGAACACCUGCGUCGGCCCCAACGCCUCCUCGGACCGCCACAGCUUCCUCACCUCCGUCUCCCUCGCCGUGCUCUGGCGCCCCGCCGACGCCCGCGCCGAGCCCUCCCCGACCCCCGACCCCACCCCCUCCACUCCUCCCCCAACCUCCUCCAGGCCCCCCGACCCCGUCACCAUCUCCGACUCCGAGCACUCGCCCCGCAACCCGAACGGCAAGCCCAAGCCCAAGCCCAAGGUGAAGCGCGUGCAGAGCGCCGGCCUCCUCGUCGGCUCCGUCCUGAGGCGGGACUCCGAGCGGCUCAAGGACAUCUACACCCUGGGCAAGAAGCUCGGGCAGGGGCAGUUCGGCACCACCUACCAGUGCGUCGAGAAGGCGACGGGGAAGCAGUUCGCCUGCAAGUCCAUCGCCAAGCGGAAGCUCAUCACCGACGAGGACGUCGAGGAUGUGCGCCGCGAGAUACAGAUCAUGCACCACCUCGCCGGCCACCCCAACGUCAUCUCCAUCGUGGGGGCAUACGAGGACGCGGUCGCCGUGCACCUCGUCAUGGAGCUCUGCGCGGGAGGGGAGCUGUUCGACAGGAUCAUACAGCGGGGGCACUACUCGGAGAAAGCCGCCGCGCAGCUGGCGCGGGUGAUCAUUGGGGUUGUCGAAGCUUGCCAUUCCCUCGGGGUGAUGCACAGAGACCUCAAGCCGGAGAAUUUCUUGUUUGUCAACCAAAAGGAGGACGCGCCGUUAAAGGCUAUUGAUUUCGGGCUUUCCAUCUUCUUCAAACCAGGUGAAAUAUUUUCGGAUGUCGUUGGAAGUCCUUACUAUGUUGCCCCUGAGGUUCUGAUGAAAGACUAUGGCUGCAAGGUGGAUGUGUGGAGCGCAGGUGUAAUAAUUUAUAUCUUGUUGAGUGGGGUUCCUCCAUUUUGGGAUGAAACUGAACAAGGAAUAUUUGACCAAGUUCUGAAAGGCGAACUUGAUUUUUCAUCCGAUCCCUGGCCCAGUAUUUCAGAGAGUGCAAAGGAUUUGGUCAGAAAGAUGCUAAACCGUGAUCCCAGGAAGAGAUUGACUGCACAUGAAGCUCUACGUCAUCCCUGGGUUUGUGUUGAUGGAGUUGCUCCGGACAAACCUCUGGAUCCUGCUGUCUUAACCAGAUUGAAACAGUUUUCUGCAAUGAAUAAACUAAAGAAGAUGGCCCUUAGGGUCAUUGCUGAGAAUUUGUCCGAAGAUGAAAUUGCAGGAUUGAGAGAAAUGUUCAAAAUGCUGGACACUGACAAUAGUGGGCAGAUCACAUUGGAGGAACUAAAAAGUGGCUUAAAGAGAGUUGGUGCUAACUUAAAGGACUCGGAAAUUGUAACACUAAUGGAAGCGGAAUUUGUUGCUAGGAGAAUUAACAGUGCACAUGUAAGUUUUGGGCGUUGCUUGAAUGAAGACAUAUGCUGUGCAACUUUCAGGCAGAUAUCGAUAACAGUGGUUCCAUUGAUUACGGAGAGUUCCUUGCUGCAACUUUACAUCUGAACAAAGUUGAACGAGAAGAUAAUCUCUUCGCAGCAUUCUCAUACUUUGAUAAAGAUGGCAGUGGUUACAUUACUCAUGAUGAGCUACAAAAGGCAUGUGAGGAGUUUGGUAUACGAGAUACACACCUAGAAGAUAUCAUCCGCGACAUUGAUCAAGACAAUGAUGGCCGGAUCGACUACAAUGAAUUUGUAAUGAUGAUGCAGAAGGGAAAUAACCCACUAAGGAAAAAGGGUUACGCCCAGAUGAGCUUUGGUCUUAGGGAAGCACUGAAGCUUGGCUAAAGGCAUGAUCAAUCCUCAGUGUAAAGUGCCAUUGAGCAUUAUAUACCAACUAUAGCUGAGAAAAAUGAGGCUCGGGAGCUUACUCUGGUACCGAAGGUGGAGCGACAUGGUCGGGUCUGUCAACCGAGCAUGCUGCAUGCAGGAAAACAAUGGCAGAUUUUUUCAGAGUUCAUCUUAAAUACUGAAACGUCCUUGAUCCUCCCCCAUGUACAGGCUUUUUCCAGGAGGGGCAGGAAUAGCGGAUGUGUUUUCCAUGACCUUUCUUUGCCUGUUCUGAAGCCCAGCUUCUGGAUGCUUCCUCAUGGCGCGUGAAUGUUGUAGAGCGAAGCUUAACAUGUUGCAUGAUCGGACAAUGUGUGUGCAAGUGUGUUCUUUUUGUUAGAAUAGAUAGCUGUGCAGUCCUUGUUAUAUAUGUUGUAAGAAUAGGCUGUACGAUUGUAUUGUGAGAAAUCUACAUCAGUUACAUGAUUUUUUAGUGUACAUUUCAUCGCAUCUCUA